UACAGAGGUCUCAAGCGUUGUUCGGCUUCAUUGGGCGUAAAGGGUGCGUAGGCGGCGCGGUAAGUCGGGUGUGAAAUCUUGGAGCUUAACUCCGAAACUGCAUUCGAUACUGCCGUGCUUGAGGACUGGAGAGGAGACUGGAAUUUACGGUGUAGCGGUGAAAUGCGUAGAUAUCGUAAGGAAGACCAGUGGCGAAGGCGGGUCUCUGGGCAAUUCCUGACGCUGAGGCGCGAAAGCGUGGGGAGCAAACGGG
rnacentral:rRNA from 1 species